UAAAAAUAGACUGAGGGAGGAAGGGCAAAGGGCCCUGUUUGGAGCAGGUGCUCCAUGUGUUUCUGUUCGGCCUUAGCAACACCCUUAGGAAGUGUCCCCUCUGCUGUGCAGAUGUCGGCAAGGUUACGUCACCAGCACGGAAGCUCUGGUGCAGGACGUGAACCUGGAUCCCACGCUCGUGUUCACGACUCAGGCCCACGGUGUGCGAGGUGGCUCUGUGUGGCAGGGGUGCGGGCCACAGGGAGACCCCGGAGCCCUUCAGCACGCUGUGCCCCAGUGCCCGAGCAGAGAAGAGACACCCAGGAGGAUCUGGGGGGAAUUUGAUGUCUGCUAUUUAAAAAAAUGUGUCCAAGUCAUUACUGUGGGGAUAAACUUCACCCUUUGAAGGCGGCUGUAACAUGCCCCACGUCCCGUGGCUCGCAGGACAGAGCCCUGCGCCUCUCACUUCUGGACGCUGAGUCUGAGACCAGGCUGUGGCCAAGCCAGGUCCCCCAGGCGCUGUGAGGGCAGCCCCCACUCCUGCUGCUCUGCUGGCAGCCUCUGGCAUUCCUUGCCUGGUAGACGCUCCAUCCGUGCCUUCAUCUUCACCUGGCUUCCUCCCCGAGAGGGCGACUGCGUCCAAAUCUCCGGUUUUGAUAGGAACACCAGUCAUCCUGGGUUCAGGUCCAUCCUGUGACGUCAUCUGAACUAAUCACGUCUGCAGUGACUCUGUUUCCAAGCCACCCCUGACCUGGAGUUGGACACGUCAGGGUAAGGGCCUGUCUCCAGAGGACCGUCCUCACUUCAGUCAUCAGCCACAAGCUCCGGUCUCCCAGGCCACCUGCAUGUCAGACCAACCAGCUACCAAUUCGGGGGCUCUGCUAUCCCCUCAUUGAAAUGAUUCCCAGAACUCAGAAGAAGCCCUGUACGUAUGACGACAGUGUUAUUAUGAAGGAUACAACUCACAAGCAGCAAAGGAAGAAAUUUAGAAGGCAAAGCCCAGGGGGGCCCACAUGUGAAGCUUUGUCACCCUCGCAGCACACAGGUGUGUGUCACCAACCAAGGGCGUCCCUCAGCCUCCAGUGUCCAGAGUUCUCACUGGACUUUCGCUACAGGGGCGUGGUUGAGUGAAUCCUUGGCCAUCUGAGCGAACUCAGUCUCCAGCCACGCGCCCCCUACACUCUAAUCUGUCGCCCAUCCCAGCCUCUAAUCACAUGGCCAGACCUAUGCUGGGACUGUCUGCAGGCCCACCGUGUGUGACAAGGGCCCUCCUGACACUCAGAACAUUCCAGAGGGCUUAGAGGCUCCCUCCCAGGACCUGGGGAUACAGACCAGCCAGACUCUUUAUUACAGAACAGCACCCAAAGUGACUCUCACAGAACACGGCCUGCGUGUCACACACACCCUUGUAAGCGCUUGCCCUGGAGUUCACUACCGCAGUGGGAAUCAAUGACCCACAGGCCACCCGGCAACAGGUGCUUGUACUACAGUUUUGAAGACCACACGCUCCCACAGUGCCUUGUUGUAAAGAGCGCAGCCCAGAUCCUCACCGUGUAACCGUCUGCCACGGGUUGCAGGACCUGCCAGCCUCCUGCACCUGCACCUGCAGAUCCCUGGCACAGCAGUUGCAGUCAGGCCCAGCCCUCAGGGCCCCAGAGAUGCAUGAGAGGCACAGUGUGAGUGUCCAUCUGCAACAGAGCAUGUUCAGCAGGAGCCAUGGUACCCUGAGUCCCUGCCAAUGUGACACAAGACAAGGGCCAGCAGGUGGGUGCGUCCUCUCCCAGGGAAACAUGUCAACAGGGACCUUGCCCAGUAUUUCCCAAGACGUGUUGGGGGAAAGGUUGGUCCUGCUGAUGUGGACAGGGAGGUAUGCCGGGAGGUGCAUCCCGAACCCCAUCUAAGAGAUGCUGAGGCUGUAACUAAAUGUGCUGUUUGCUGCCUGCCUCCCCAAGGGGGUCUGUUCCCACACUGUUCGCUCCUCCUGUCAGCAUCUUUGGGAUGUGAGCCCAUCUCUGGAAACACCGCCUUCACGAAAAGCAGUGACUGGCUCCCACCCCGCAGGAAAUUUUUACUUCCCAUGGGUCAGCCAUCUGGAGAAGACCUCUGUGGCUAUUCCAGGAUCCAUCUCAUCCCAAGUGGAGCUAGAAAUAGAAGCUAUACUAAUUGGGAGACCUCAAAAAUAUUGCCUACCUUUUUCUUUUUUAAAGAUUC